UGACAGUACUCCUACGGGAGCAGCAGUGGGGAAUAUUGGACAAUGGGCGCAAGCCUGAUCCAGCCAUGCCGCGUGAGUGAUGAAGGCCUUAGGGUUGUAAAGCUCUUUUGUCCGGGACGAUAAUGACGGUACCGGAAGAAUAAGCCCCGGCUAACUUCGUGCCAGCAGCCGCGGUAAUACGAAGGGGGCUAGCGUUGCUCGGAAUCACUGGGCGUAAAGGGCGCGUAGGCGGCCAUUCAAGUCGGGGGUGAAAGCCUGUGGCUCAACCACAGAAUUGCCUUCGAUACUGUUUGGCUUGAGUUUGGUAGAGGUUGGUGGAACUGCGAGUGUAGAGGUGAAAAUUCGUAGAUAUUCGCAAGAACACCAGUGGCGAAGGCGGCCAACUGGACCAAUACUGACGCUGAGGCGCGAAAGCGUGGGGAGCAAACAGGAUUAGAUACCCUGGUAG
rnacentral:rRNA from 1 species